UGGUAUUUAACUUCAUUCAUCCAUAGAGAAGCAACAUCCUGCAAUAGAAGUACUAGGUAAUGGUUUUCAUUAUUACUACAAACAAUCAUGUCUAUAAUAUUUCUUAAAACAUCUCCUCAAUUUACAAACUUUAAAUAUGACAUGGCACUCACUAGAGAGCACUAGAAUUAAUAAACCAUGUUACAGAGGUUACAGCAGAAGAACCAUCUAUAUAUAUAAUAUGUUUUCAACUCCACCCGUCUUCUCAAACAGGACGAAGAUCGGAUUUUUACUCAGUUCCUUGCAUCGGGACCAUCAUAUGCUGACCCUGAGAAUUCCCAUAAUUCAUUCCUUGUGAGUAUGAACCCUGAUGUGCAAGCUGUGAAUUAGGACCAGGUUGCAUCCCAUCUCUUUUAGUAGAGCCAUCAGCAGCCUUUGACGUUCCCUCCAUCUCUCUGUAUCGAGCAAGAUACACCUUGAGUGGUUCAAUAUAAUCUUCAAACCCAAGAGUUGCCAUUGCCCAUAGCAAAUCGUCACCAUUAAUAGUCUUCCUUUUCUCUCUCUGGCACUUGUCACUUGCCUCGCUAGUAAUGAAGCUGAUGAACUCAGAAACACAUUCCUGAACAGUCUCCUUAGCAUCCUUCGCAAUUUUUCCAUUAGCAGGAAGUGCCUUCUUCAUGAUUCUACUAAUAUUAGCUAUUGGUAAAAACCUGUCCUGUUCACGUACAUUAGACCUCGGACUCUGGUCCCCACCACUCUCAUGACUACCACCUCCGUUUGGACUCGCCGGUGACCUAGACGAACCUUGACCAUCCGCCAUACUGGGGAUGGAGGGAACUGGAAGAUCGGACGUUGGAGAAGAAGGGAGAAAGGGAGACGACUGAGAUGAGGCAGAGUUUUGGAUUUUGCCCUAUCAACACCGUUCGUUUUACAAAGAAA
rnacentral:misc_RNA from 1 species